ACUAACACUUAUUCAAACCUUUGGGCCAUUUGUGCCUCUUUUAAACUUAACUUUUGAUUAAAAAUAAUCCACUCAUUUUGAAAUUGAUACCAUGAACUAUGAGGUUUUGAUCCCUCAUUUUUAUGUUGGUACGUAGGCACAAGUCUGAAGGUCUUGUCAAACACAAAAAUAUAAUCAAUGAAUUCUUUUCUCAUCCCCACACUCUAUUUGUUGCGAACAUCUUUUAUACCAAAAAC
rnacentral:lncRNA from 1 species